AGAUUGUUAGUUAAAAUAUAACACUAAUCUGUCACAUUAGAAUUGCCUCGCCCGGUACAGUCUU
rnacentral:tRNA from 1 species